UCCCAGUUCGCCAUCGCCAUGGCUCCCCGCUGUCCCUGGGAUGAGGACGCCCCCGGCACRGGGCACCCCUACCUUCCUCAGGGGCGUGGUAGGCUGCCAGGGCAUUAAGCAUGUCGUAGAUGACGUCCUUGAUUGGCUCGGGGAUGACAGGCAGCGCCGCUGGCUUCACCGGCGUCGUCUUCACCAGCUGCACGGCGUUGGGGCCCUUGAUCCGCAGGUUCUCAAACUCGUCGUCGGAGGCGGUGCCAGUGCAGUCGAUGAUGCUGCUCAGCUUGGGGGUCCGCUCCAGGUGCACGAUGGAGGUGAGGGUCCGCAGCGAGGCCGCCUUGAUGUCCUGGGGGAGGCGGGGAGGCGAUGGGGUGCCGGACGAGUGCCCUGGGGCACCACAGCGGCACUGGGGGGGGGACGGCCAGCCCCGGGGACCCACCAUAAGCUGCUUGUCUGUGAUCUGCAGCACGUCCACGAGCUCCUCGAUGAGGCCGUUAUACAGGAUGCUGUUAGCCGAYUCCUGCAAGGCGUUGGAGUACACUGCGGAGUGGAGACGAGGUGGGUCAUCUCACGCYGGGGGGCCCGGUGUCCCAGCACCCCCACAACCCCCUCCUACCAGCRGUACCUAGUAUGGAAAUGGCGUGCAGCCGGGCCUGCACUGCCUGCAGCCGCUUCUUGUGGUUGGAGAAGCCGUGGGCCAGGCGGAUGUGGGUGAAGAGCAGCAUCUGUGGGGCGCAGCACAGGGUCAGCAGCUGCCCCUGGCGCGCGGCCGCGGGGGGCCGCCCCGGCCCCACACUAACCUGCUUGUCUUUGGGGAUGCUGUACAUCUUGGUGAGCGACUCCAUGAUCUCAGACGGGCUCUCCGAAAUCUGCAGGGAGGGGAAGGGGGGAUCAGUGGGGCACCUGUCAGACCCCUCUCCCCCACGCCCGCCAGCAGCAGCCCUGGCACUCGCCUUGUCCAGCUGCUCGAUGUGGAUGUAGUGUAGCGUGGUGCUGGUGGCCUGCAGAAAGAAGACAGCUGGUGAGGGGCAGCCGCACGGCACCGGGGGCCUGUGGCCCCGUGGUGGGGGGUCACGGCAGCCCCGCAGACGCUCACCCGUUUGUCCACCUUGACCUCGGCGCCUGGCUCAGCGUAGAACUCGAAGUGCAGCGUGGUGGCGCUCGGCGGGUACUUCUGCACCAGCGGCAGGGACGAAAACGAACGGCGGUGGGGGGACAGCACCAGGGCAGCGAGCAGCC
rnacentral:lncRNA from 1 species